GCAGCCUGCAGUCGGGGGCGCCACCCCCGCGCGCCCACCCUGCUCCACCGUUUUGAAACUCAGCAGCUGUUUUAACAAUUGAAAAAGCGACCCUACAGGACCAGUGAGAGACGGGGCAGAGUGUGUGAAGCCAUUAAGGCUGACUAGAUAAGCCCAAGAGCUACGGCAGGGGAUCCCUGGAUCCCAGCCCAGAAGAUCCAGAGCUGGGGCUCCUGCACCUGAGCUAGGACCCAGAGUCAGUCGCCCUGGCACUCAUGAACAUUCAUUAAGUACCUCCUGUGUACCCUGCAUGGCUUGGUGCUGAGAUUUAAAGAGAUGAAGCUACCGAGGCAGUCAGAACUCAUCAUAUUUCUCCGUCAAGAAAAGAUCUCAACCCAGGCAGUGCCUUUCACUGACCAUCUUGCCUCACCUUUCAGAAUGGAAUCAAGAAAACAAAGGGACUGUGAAACUUCAACAAACAAUGAACAGAUCAUUUCAAAAUUUCCAAACAGUUGCUCAAAAUAAAGUCAUAGACUGCAGUU